UGGGGAAUAUUGGACAAUGGGCGCAAGCCUGAUCCAGCAAUGCCGCGUGUGUGAAGAAGGCCUUCGGGUUGUAAAGCACUUUUAUCGGGAGCGAAAAGUUACGGGUUAAUACCCGUGAUGCUGACGGUACCCGAUGAAUAAGCACCGGCUAACUUCGUGCCAGGCAGCCGCGGUAAUACGAGGGUGCAAAGCGUUAGUCGGAAUUACUGGGCGUAAAGCGUGCGUAGGCGGUUUUUAAGUCUGCCGUGAAAGCCCCGGCUCAACCUGGGAAUGGCGGUGGAUACUGGAAAGCUGGAGUGCGGUAGAGGAGGGUGGAAUUCCCGGUGUAGCGGUGAAAUGCGUAGAGAUCGGGAGGAACAUCAGUGGCGAAGGCGGCCCUCUGGACCAGCACUGACGCUGAGCACGAAGCGUGGGGAGCAAACA
rnacentral:rRNA from 1 species